AUUGAACGCUGGCGGCAGGCUUAACACAUGCAAAUCGAGCGGGGAAGGGUAGCUUGCUACCUGACCUAGCGGCGGACGGGUGAGUAAUGCUUAGGAAUCUGCCUAUUAGUGGGGGACAACAUUCCGAAAGGAAUGCUAAUACCGCAUACGCCCUACGGGGGAAAGCAGGGGAUCUUCGGACCUCGCGCUAAUAGAUGAGCCUAAGUCAGAUUAGCUAGUUGGUGGGGUAAAGGCCUACCAAGGCGACGAUCUGUAGCGGGUCUGAGAGGAUGAUCCGCCACACUGGGACUGAGACACGGCCCAGACUCCUACGGGAGGCAGCAGUGGGGAAUAUUGGACAAUGGGCGAAAGCCUGAUCCAGCCAUGCCGCGUGUGUGAAGAAGGCCUUUUGGUUGUAAAGCACUUUAAGCGAGGAGGAGGCUACCGAGAUUAAUACUCUUGGAUAGUGGACGUUACUCGCAGAAUAAGCACCGGCUAACUCUGUGCCAGCAGCCGCAGUAAAAC
rnacentral:rRNA from 1 species